UGCAAACAGUACAUUUUCUAGCCAGAUUAAAAUAGAAUAUGUUUUCUAGCCUUAAGUGGCAAUUAAGUCCUCAAGUUCUUAUUACUUUUCCAAAUUUUGUGGUAGCACUGAAGAAACAUGUCUUUUGCUUGUUUACACAGCUUUUUUCUUUAAUCUUGAAAAAAAUGUAUUUAAAAAAGCAGUUGUUUUCUUUGCCUUUGACAGAUGUUCCCUGUUGUCAGAUAGUAAUCCAGGACACAGUCCAUUCCCGAGUGACAGUAAACCCCUUUGGGGAGGGUAGCGUGCUGACGUGUAUUCUUUC
rnacentral:lncRNA from 1 species